AUGAAUCGGAGACUUAAUCUUGAUAUACCUCAGAACAAUACAUUCUUGUUACCACGAGAUGUAUUGGCCGCUACGGAUCAUUUGAUUGGAAUGAAAUUUGGAACGGGUAUACUUGACGAUGACGAUAUGAAUCACUUGAAAAAUAAACGUAUUCGUUCGGUUGCAGAUCUGUUACAAGAUCCCAUAGGCUCGAAUGACCCCUUCUCAUAA
rnacentral:rRNA from 1 species